AGUGAACGCUGGCGGUAGGCCUAACACAUGCAAGUCGAACGGCAGCACAGUAAGAGCUUGCUCUUACGGGUGGCGAGUGGCGGACGGGUGAGGAAUACAUCGGAAUCUACUUUUUCGUGGGGGAUAACGUAGGGAAACUUAUGCUAAUACCGCAUACGACCUACGGGUGAAAGCAGGGGAUCUUCGGACCUUGCGCGAUUGAAUGAGCCGAUGUCGGAUUAGCUAGUUGGCGGGGUAAAGGCCCACCAAGGCGACGAUCCGUAGCUGGUCUGAGAGGAUGAUCAGCCGCACUGGAACUGAGACACGGUCCAGACUCCUACGGGAGGCAGCAGUGGGGAAUAUUGGACAAUGGGCGCAAGCCUGAUCCAGCCAUACCGCGUGGGUGAAGAAGGCCUUCGGGUUGUAAAGCCCUUUUGUUGGGAAAGAAAAGCAGCAGGUUAAUACCCCGCUGUUCUGACGGUACCAAAAGAAUAAGCACCGGCUAACUUCGUG
rnacentral:rRNA from 1 species